rnacentral:rRNA from 1 species
AUACGGAGGGUGCAAGCGUUAUUCGGAAUCACUGGGCGUAAAGGGUGCGUAGGCGGUUUGAUAAGUCCGAUGUGAAAUCCUAUGGCUCAACCAUAGAACUGCAUUGGAAACUGUCAGACUAGAAUACUGAAGGGGCAGAUGGAAUUAGUGGUGUAGGGGUAAAAUCCGUAGAUAUCACUAGGAAUACCGAAAGCGAAAGCGAUCUGCUGGGAAGUUAUUGACGCUGAGGCACGAAAGCGUGGGGAGCAAACGGGAUUAGAAACCCCAGUAGUCC